ensembl:ncRNA Y10G11A.91 ncRNA
UUGAAAAAUUAAAAUUCAGAAGCCCCGCCUACUUUUUGGCGCGAAAAUUCAAACUUUCCUGAAAAACCCCGAAAAGGGCGGAGCCUGAAAAACACGCCCAUAAAAUGGUUUUUGUUUCCAAGUGGG